rnacentral:rRNA from 1 species
AUGAUGAGGACGGUGGCGGUGGUGGCGGUGGCCGUGCUGCUGGCGGCGGCGGUGGCGGCGGAGGCGGGCGAGCUCAAGGUGGGGUACUACGACAAGAGCUGCCGGGGCGUGGAGAACGUGGUGAAGUGGCACGUCGCCAGGGCCAUCAAGGCCAACCGCAAGAGCGGCGCCGCCCUCGUCCGCCUCAUCUUCCACGACUGCUUCGUCAGGGGCUGUGACGCGUCGGUGCUGCUGGACCCGACGCCGGAGAACCCCAAAACGGAGAAGACGGCGCCGAUCAACAUCGGCCUGGCCGCCUUCGACCUGCUCGACGACAUCAAGGCGGCGGUGGAGGACCGGUGCCCCGGCGUCGUCUCCUGCGCCGACAUCCUCAUCUUCGCCGCCCGCGACGCCGCCAGCCUGCUAAGCAACGGCCACGUCCACUUCGACGCCCUCGCCGGCCGCCUGGACGGCAUGCACUCCCACGCGGCGGAGGCGCAGCAGGACCUCCCCGACUCCACCUUCACCAUCGCGGAGCUCAUCCAGAACUUCAAGCGCAAGAACUUCACCAUCGAGGAGCUGGUGAUCCUGUCCGGCGCGCACGCCGUGGGCGUGGGCCACUGCUCGUCGCUCCGCGCCCGGCUCACGGCCCCCGCCGACCAGAUCCUCCCGGCAUACCGGGGCCUCCUCGCCGGCAAGUGCGCCAAGGGCCCGGACCCCAUCGUGCCCAACAACAUCAGGGACGAGGACGCCGGCGCGGUGGCGGCGGCCGUCCCGGGGUUCCUCCCGAAGCUGAGGAAGGUCAAGGACUUCCUGGACAACAGCUACUACCACAACAACCUGGCAAGGAUCGUCACCUUCAACUCCGACUGGCAGCUGCUGACGGAGAAGGAGGCGCGCGGCCACGUGCACGAGUACGCCGACAACGGCACGCUGUGGGACGAGGACUUCUCCGACUCGCUCGUCAAGCUCAGCAAGCUGCCCAUGCCGCACGGCAGCAAGGGCGAGAUCAGGAAGAUGUGCCGCUUCGUCAACCACUAG